AGUUGUGCUGGUGAAAAGGCAGAGACUGAGCUGUAGCCAGGUGGAUUUGGUUGUAAGAUUACAUGAAGGAACUGCAGUGAAAGGUUUAGUCGUUGCCUUAGGAAAGAUAAGGAAAAUUCAGGCUGGUGCACAUCACCUGGGGAACAUUCUACCAUCUUAUUGUGGAAGGCUUUGCUCUGAGGCAACAUCCCUUCAGCAGCUCAGCGUGGCCAGAAGAUGCUGGGAAUGCAGAAAAGCAGCUUUUAAUCUUCCUUGGCUGCUUGCUAGUAAAUUUGUGUUCAUCCUUCCCUUGGAAGUGUUACCACAGUCUGAGCUGCUUUGUGAGGUGCCAAGUACAAAGAAUGGAACAUGUAUAACAUUUUUCAUUAUGCCAUUUUUAGAGUAUCGGAAUCUGAAAAUGGAGGGUGGGGGCAGCUGGAUUUCUUUUGCUUGCUUGCAGUGCUGAGGCAUGAAGUAGGAAGAUGACCUGUCAGUGUGGAAUUGGAGAUAGGGAGCUCCGCACAUCUGGAAGUCAAGGCAUGGAAGUUCAGCUCUGUUUUAUAGCAAGGCAAGAAGAUCAGAGUCUUGGUGGUUUCUGGCAUUAUUGUACACAAAGGAUACAGCAUGGGGAUCUUAGCCUGUGCUUUCCAGAUAACAAGAUACUGAAGUCCAGACCUUCUUCUGCCUGUCUUCACACAGCACUGAGCCCAAUGGUAUGAGCAGACGUUCAAGCUGGUCAGGCAGAGCAGCUGCUUGCAAAUACUCUAAGAUGUCAGUGUCAAAGGGGAUUGCGCUCAUCUAGGUAGAGCAACAGGUGCAUCUUUGGGGAAAAAUAGUAUGAACUGGCAACUGUGGGAUUUGGUGAACAAGUCAGUACAGUUCUUGGCCAGGUGUAAUUCAAACAAUAAAACUACUUCUGUUUAAACUUUCCUAGUCAAAUUAGUGAUGCGUACUCCUUGCUGUCCCUUCCUGUUAGUUAGAGGACUGAAGAACAUACAUAGCCUCUGCUGGCCUUUUGAGAGCUCUGUUACUAACCUCUGGUGAACGAGUGAGGACAACAGCAGUGUCAAUGGCCCUAUGUCACUUCUUGGGGGUGGUAUGUUGAGCAGCGCCAUAAUCCAUGAAAGAAGGAACUCCAUAUUCACCAGACUGAGUGAAACAUCUUAUUUGAAAUUUGAAGUGAAAUAAUCUGUUUAAUAGUAUGUUAAUUCCCAUCACUGCUUUAAAACCAAAUGAAGGAAACAAUAAUAAUUUUGUUCUGCUUCUUCUGUUCCUACAGCUUAAGGUUGUGACUGCAAGGAAAGCACAACCACAGAAAGGCAUGACAAUGUGUUAUGUUACCGUGUUAUAGGGAACUUUAUUUGUGGCUCAUGGAGAGAUAGGCUGGCAGGAGGAUUGUGGGCGUGCUGGAUAUAGUGCUCACUGGGAGAGAGGCUGCACUCCUACACAAGGGCUGCAUCUUUGGUUCACUAACAUUAGACACUGUUCUCUUGUCAGUUGGGCAUGCAUUACAGCAACUGACUGCUAUGGAAGUGUGGGAAGAGUAAUACUUGCCUUCCAUGUGACACUUCUGGUUUGAUGAUGGAGAAUAAGGUACCUGCAAAUCAUAAC